CGCCAAAGCAAAUAAUAAACUUAUUUUCUCUCUAUGACAAAACAUAAAAAAAAAAAAAAACCCCAAAUCGAAAACCUAUGUCUCUUCAACUCCGACUCCACCACCGUAAAGCUCUUCGCCGACCUCAUUUCACGUCCAUUCCAUCCUUAUCCUUCAUCCUCCAGCUUGGUUCACAUGGUCGAUUCCUCCGAUACAGAUAACACCAAUCGGGACACGGAUCUAGAUCGAGAUCGAGAGGCCACCAAGUUUGUUUUUGAAUCGUCACGAGGUUUGUUUCAUGGUGAGCUAGAGGUCUUCGCUUCUCAGUGUUUGGGAAUAAUGUUCCUGGAGAGAAGAAGUAUGGUGGUUUCUUUUUCUUUUUCUUCUCUUGCUUCUUCUCUGGCCACAAACUACUCUUUCAUGGUUCUGAAUUCUUACCUCUUGAUAUUGAGAAAAAUCGUAAGCUUACUUUGUCUUAGUUUUGGUAUAUGUGUAAAAAGGCUACUGCCAUGGCUAUUAACCGGAUUUUGAAUCAAACACAGCUUACAUGAAAAAUCAUAUGUUGGUUUCAUCGGAAAUGAGGAUUGUUGUUGUUUUGCCUUUGUUAUAGGGUGAAUGAAUCUUUUGACGCUAUAUGGUGAGAUCACAUUUGUUUUGAACUUGUAUUCUUUUGGUAAGUUGUGAAGAAGAGAGAGAUGGAACCUUAGGAGUCUCUAGAAGUGACGCAGUCAAGGCUCUCUCCUACUCCGUUUCUUACUUUGCCUCAGUCAGGUUCGUCGAAUUCUUUCUCGUAGCUUUCAACUUGUUUAUCUUUUAAGAGAAUAAGUUUUCGUUGCCUCAGUCAGGUUUGGUUUUAUCUCUUAACUUCAGAUGGUCCAUUGAGCUAUAAGUUUUCGUUGCAUCAGUCAGAAGCUUUUGACCGGAGUGGAGUGGUGUAUGUUCUGAUGAACCUUUUCAUGCCCUUAAGGUGUUCGACGAAUUGCCUCAUUAUUGGCUGGCUUGUUUCUUAAUUGUUUUGUGUUGAUUUUGGUUUUGUGGUGUUGCUCUUGAACCUUUCAGGUGCUUACGAUUCUUGUCACUAACCUAUAGAAGAGUAGAGUAGAGUUCUGGUUUAUCUUUGAUGGGGUUUUGUUUCUUACCAUAAGUGAAGAUGUUUCCAACUAGAUCUUACUUUUGCAUCUUUGGGAUGGGUGUUUUUCCCAAGUCUAGAAAUAACUUGUAGCUCUUCUGUGAAGAACGACUCAUUGGAUGCUCCUCUACGUCAACCUCUUUUAAGUUAUCUCUCCUCAAGCACAAAGCUUUUACUCUAGAGGUUGGUUUGUGAUUCAUGUAUUUUUGUGAGGCUUCUAUGAACAGAUUUCUGAGGUCAUGGAGUUUAGAUGUUUCAUAUUUGUUAUGAGGAGUGCACUUAUAGUUGUCUCUGCAUUCAGAUAAUUGUGUUCACCAAAAACCCGAAUCUAAGGGAAGAUGAAAAUUAAGAAUUUGCAAAGUCUACGGGUAUCAAGAGCUUUGUAAGGAACUACUCUCGGAACAACUGUGUACUUGAGUUCGUGAACGUUUAUGAGCCAACCAUUUGGAUGUAUCUAGGAAAGCUACGAUUUUUAUACCACAGUCGGCUUUGAAAUCUAUAUUUUCUGUUAUUAGUAAUGUAAGUUAGUAUAAGAAUCGGUAUAAUAUUAUGUAUUACUUGUUUUGGGUAAUGUAAUAUUGUUAUUGUUUAUGUUGAUGAUUUAUGGAAUAUAAAUUUAUUGAUAAAUCUAA